CCAGAAGUAGCAUGCUCCAUGAUUCAUGCUACAUGCUACUAAACCCCACUAAGGCACCAAAUUAGCCUUCUAUUCUUUAGGCGGUCUGCUUCAUGCUGAUUUUCCAUACCAUAAAUUACGUUUUCUCUUCCUCCUUUUAAUGGAAUAAUCAUUCUGCCCUUAUUCUACACUUUAACAGUGUUUCAUUAGUUUGUUUAACUUAGUAUUUAUUUGUUGGAAUCACCAAUUCCUUUUUGUUAAGGGAAUUUCUGAAUUCUUCCACAAAAGUUUUUGAAUAUCUAUAUUGAAUAAAGUCGGGAGAAAAAACUCUCAUUGAUGUUCAAUAUCGAUCUUUAUUGAAAAUUCAGUCAUCUAUCAGACCACAUUUUGAAAACUUACUUUCGAGAGAGCUAGAAAUUCCCUCAAACACUUUUCUAUUCCUUAAACGGCUGUGAUAGUCAUCUCAAUUCCACCCACAGCAGUAACACACCAAAAACAUGACCAUGUCUACGUCUUUCGACCAACCUUUGAGGUCAUCCGCCUCUGCAAAUAAAACGGUGAUUAGUUCGCCGGUGACAAAAAUCAACAAAAAUAAGAAUUCGUAAAACACAACAGUAGACAGAAGAAUCCCAAAAUUCCCUCUAGUUUUUGGUUAGAGGGACUAAAGAUGGGGAACAACAAACUAAAGAUAUCAAUAGGUGAAUAUUCAAAGAGAGAAAGAGAGGAUGAGCGUCAGAAGGAUGGACGAAGAGAGAAAGUGAGGUGAGAAACUUUUUUGCUUGGAUUAGGUUAAAGUUAAAAUACUAUUUAAUAAAUUAUUAAACAUAAAAUAAAAUGUUUUAAAAAUCAAUUUUGCUAAAAUAUUUUACUUUUUUUUUCUUACUUUUAAUAUGUUAAAAUAUUUUAUACGUAAUGGUGUGUUUAAUAAAUCAUUGAAAAUUUUUGUUUUAUUGAGAAUGAAUUUUCAACCUUUAAUAUUUUAGUUUUAGAUGUGUUUAAUAAUUAUUUUAAUUUUUUACUUAAUAUAAAAUUUCAAAAAAAUAUUGAAAUAAAUAUUUAUUUUAUUUUAUUUUAUUUUAUUCAAAAUUUAAAAUAAAUUAUCUUCUUUUUGUUGAAAAUGAGACAUUUAAAUUAUCGUAUUUAUUUUCAUCAAAAACUAUCUAAAAUAAUAUAAAAUAUUAUAUUAAUAAGAUUAAAAUUAAAAAUAAAUAUUUUUUUAAAAAAAUUAAUUUUUAUUAAAUGGAAGCUUAGUCUGUGAUUCAUAAGGUCGUAUGAGAUCAUCGAGAGAAUUGGGCCAGUAGCUUACCGUUUAGCUUUACCGUAUGAAUUAGAGAAAAUUCACAACGUGUUUCAUGUAUCAAUGUUACGGAGAUAUCGAUCUGACCCUUCACACAUAAUUUCGCCUGUUGAUGUAGAAAUUCUGGUAGAUAUGUCCUAUAGUGAAGAACCAAUUAGAAUUGUAGCUCGAGAAGUCAAAUAAUAAACGAAUAGCUCUGGUUAAAGUUUUCUAGCAUCGUCAUGGGGUCGAGGAAACUACCUGGGAACGAGAAGAAGCUAUGAAAGUGCAAUACCUAAACCUAUUUUCUGGUAAGAUUUUCAGGGACGAAAAUUCCUUUAGGGGGAGAGUUGUAAUGACCCAUUUAUAGUGGUGUUAAAAGCAAUGGUCUCGGGACCACGAUUUCGACAAGAGAGUAAAUAUUUUAUUAAUUAUUUAAAGCUUACGAGUGUUUAUUAAGGUAUUAUUAAAUUUUUGUUAAGAAAUUUUGAAGUUUAAACUAUUAAUUAGGUAAAAAAGAACUAAAUUGAAAAAGGUGCAAAAGUCUUCUUCUGUUAGUUAAGUGGAUUAAAUAGCUUUAACAAGGUGAGUUAAUGGACUUAUUUAGUAAUUAUGUUGUAUAUGUUUAUAGUGGACAAAUAUGGACAUGUUUAUGCUAGUAUUUAAGUUAUAUUAUCAGGGCAAAAGAGUAAUUAAUCAAAUAAUCAUGAAAUAAAUAAAACAAAAGCUGUCAUGUUCUUUCUCUUUUUCUUGUUUAACUAUAAACACCAUUGAAGGGGGGAGAAAAGCUUCAUUUUUCUUAAUUCACUUGCAUGGUAUGUAUUCAAGUCCCGUUUUUAGUAAUUUUUAUAUUUUUGAGCUUUUUUUAGCUUAAACUACUUAGCUCGAGGAUUAAUUUGCAAAGCUGUUAAAGGUUAAAGGAAAUGUUAGGAAUGAAAUUGAUGAAUUUGUGAUGUUAAUUGAUAGGUUAUUACAUUUGGUUGUUAAAUAAAUUUAUUUUGUUAAGUGAUUUUUUUAUAAAUUUAGUGUUAAAGAUUAAUUUGCUAAAAGUGUAAAAUUCCUUGAAAUUAUUUUGGGUAAAUAUGGGCUGAUUAGGUACUCUAGAAGAAUCAGUUAACACAUGUUGUCUAUGAAAAUAGUGAAUUUGCAAGUUAUGGUUAUAAUGACUAAGUUGUAAAAAAAUUAAAAUAGGAGGGGUAAUUUUGUAAUCUCAUGAUAAUAUGAAUUAUAGAUUGAAUUGAAUAUUUGAGGUUAUUUGAAGUACUUAAUUGAAUGAAGGUAUCUAUUUAGAUCAAAAGAAACCACAACUGGAUUUAAAUCGAGAAAACGCAAAAGCUUUGGAUUAGUCUCCAACUCUACCUUUGCGACUAUAGUUACCAACGCAAGUUCGUAUGAAUAUAAUUUUAUUAAUGAUAUUUUAAUUGAUUAUUUGUUAUAUUAUAUUAGUUAUAAAUUGACUUGAAUAUAUAAAUAUAUUGACAUUUUGAAUAAUUGACGGAUAAAUAAUCCCGUUUGAACCUUAAGAAUUCGUAGGAUUUGAAUGACAUGUCAUUAAGAAUUUCAUGUUUCGGGUACUGGUCUUGAAUGUACUACCAAUGACUAAGGUCCUGCAUUUGUUGUGAAUUCUCCACAGCUCGUGUGAGCAGUAUCAUGUAGCUAAAAUUCUGACCCACAGCUGGUGUGAGCAGGCCCAUUUCACUGCUCGUGUGAGCACUAUUGAAAAUGAAAUGUUACGAUUAUAUGGAAAGGCACACUAUAUGUGAGCAUUCCCGAGUAUCCAAUAAAUUUCUAGAUGGUUCACAGGUAAGUAAAGGUUAAUGGCAAGGCAUGUAUUCAAAUGGAUAAUUAUUCAUAAUCUUAUAAAAGGUAAAUUUGAUGAAUGGUAUGUACAUGGAAAUUUACUUAUGAUAUGGUUGAACUUAUAUGUAUUAUGUAUUAACUUGCUAACUUGUGAGUUUGGUGGUGUAUAUAGGAGUUUAUUUAGCUUAUGAUCAUGGUAAUGAUGUUAUUCAUAUUUUAUAUAUUGAGCUUAAGAAGGGUAAGUUAUAUUUGAAUUUAUACGAGCUUACUAAGCACUAGUUGCUUACGUAGUUAUUUUCCUUUGUUUCGUAGAUUAUCGGAAGCUUGAUCGGCUGGAAGCUUGUCAGAGUUCUAUCAACACUAUCCAGUAAUCUCUUUGGUAGUUCUUGAGUUAUUUUGGCCAAGGUUAUAAAUGGUAUAUUGGUUAGGAGAAAUAGGUUGAUUGAAUUGGUAGAUUUAUAUGUGUUUGAAGUGUGUUUAGGUUUAUUGAAGGUAUGUACUAAUGAAGUAGAUUUUUGGGCAAGUUGUGGGCUUUAAAUGGCUUGUUUUUGGGGGUUUGGGUGCCGAUUUUGGAGGAAGAAUUAAGAGAAAAAAAUUAAAAUUUGGGAGAAGAAUGGAAGGGGUGAGGGCGGCACAAAAAGAAGAUUGAGUAGAGGGAAUGAUUGUUGAUGAAAUAAGUGUGAAAAAGGGGUGUAUUUAUAGGGAUGGUGGGGGUUUAAGAGAUAGCAACAAAAAUUUAAAAGACUUUUUCAAAAUUAAUUACUAAAAGAUAAUCAAAAUUAAAAAUAUUAAAAUAAUUUAUAUUUAUCAAUUAAAUAAAUAAAAUUAAUUCGACUCAAUAAUUAUCUCUAGCAAGAAAAUCCAAUUAAAAAGAUAUAAUUAAUUGAUAAUUAAAUUAAAUCAUUUGAAUAAAAAGAAAUUUCUUUGUGGUCCAAAAU
rnacentral:lncRNA from 1 species